rnacentral:lncRNA from 7 species
GUGCCAUGCGUGAGAGACUCGCCAUGCACCCUAGAAAUUUCCUAGAAAAAUUGUAUUUUCCUCUGCCGUUCCCGGCUCCGCGGUGAUAGUGCCUCCAUGGUCAGGUCGGCUAUGAGUAGUGUCCUGUUAUUUGUGUCGUGUUCAAAAUCCUUCCACUGCUAUGGAAGCUCAUAGAUCUGUUGCUUCAUCGCUACGACGCUACCGCAGUUGAGUCAUCAGAACAGUCCUUCGACGCCGAAGCACCCCGCCGUCAAACAUCUUCGCGCGGACCGUUCUGUCUGUUCUUCGUCCAAGCUGCACUCGCCGAAUAACAUCCUUCUCGUCGCGCUCAGAAGCCGUCACCUGACCAACAAGUGGUCACGGUAAGUUCAUAGCACGCGAGACGGGUGUGGAUGUCGAAUACUGUCACGGUUAACAUGUGGCUAACUAGAGAAUUCAAGUCCACGAAAAAUGAUGAAGAUUUGAUUCUCUAAUAAAUUGUCUAUGGCAGUGCGAUCAGGUGUUCGAGCAGUAGAUGAAUGUAUCUUAUUUUAAAUUGUGUCAGACCCAGUUUAUACUAGUAUAACCGAUAUCGUAUUUGUUCGGUCCAUGUGUUUCUUGCCUAGCUCAAAAUCUUCGAAUAAAAGUAACUGUUUGGGUUGCUGC